rnacentral:rRNA from 1 species
AUGGCGGAGGAACCGUCCGCCAAGCGUUAUCAUGGCGAGCCGUCGGACAAGAGCAGCAACCUCGUCGACGUUCACGUCCCCGGCGAGAAGCGCGAGUACACCAGAACCCUCACAGCGGUUGAGCUCCACGGCAAAGAGACGCUGGAGAUCGUCUGCACCAGCGAACCAGACAAGGCCAACGAGGUGAUGAGCAGGCUCAGGAUGAAGGGCGGCGGCUUGCCCAAGCGCCUCAAAGACUUCCUGCAGGAGGAGAAAUUGUACACAUUUGUCGGUUUCAGCAUUGGAGGUGACAAGCGGAUGCUGAACAAGUCUGGCGACGUAAUCCACCCAUUCUACAGCGGCAUGAAGAAGAAGAUGGACAAGGGAGAACACAAACUGUGGGGGACCAGCCCGCUGCCAGACAACCUCAUCACGUACGCAGGAAUAGAUGCGUACGCCACGUACAAGUCAUGGAAGACAAUCGCCAACAUCUUGACAGGAUGA